rnacentral:rRNA from 1 species
UUCAAAAACAUCUUUUCUUGUUAGUUUCUGAAGUAUGGCCUGCCCGCUGACGUAUUUUGAGUUGAAGGGCCGCGGUAUUUUGACCGUGCAAAGGUAGCAUAGUCAUUAGUUCUUUAAUUGUGAUCUGGUAUGAAUGGCUUGACGAGACAUGGGCUGUCUUGGGUGUGAAUUUGUUGUUGAAUUUGGAGUUUAAGUUAAAAUUCUUAGAUGUUUUUAUGGGACGAGAAGACCCUAUAGAGUUUGACAUUUGAUUGCGUAUUUCUUGUUGUUUGUUUUGAAUUUUUGUGCAUCUCUUGUUUUGUUGGGGUGAUGGGAGGAAUUUAUUUAACUCCUCUUUUAUGUGGUAUAUUGAUUUGUAAUUGUUUUGAUCCAUUUAUUUUGAUUGUAAGAUUAAAUUACCUUAGGGAUAACAGCGUAAAGC